rnacentral:rRNA from 1 species
GUUAGUCUCGCACAGAUGCAUAUCAAUAAGCGGAGGAAAAGAAACUAACAAGGAUUCCCUUAGUAACGGCGAGUGAAGCGGGAAAGAGCUCAAAUUUGAAAUCUUCAAGGUUUUACCUUGACGAAUUGUAGUUUAAAGAAGUGUUUUCUGUUGAAGUUUUGGUAAAAGUUCUUUGGAAUAGGACAUCAUAGAGGGUGAGAAUCCCGUAUUUGACCAUUAUUUUCAGCUGUGUGAUACACUUUCAAAGAGUCGGAUUGUUUGGGAAUGCAGUCCGAAAUGGGUGGUAAAUUUCAUCUAAAGCUAAAUAUUGGCGAGAGACCGAUAGCGAACAAGUACCGUGAGGGAAAGAUGAAAAGAACUUUGAAAAGAGAGUUAAACAGUACGUGAAAUUGUCAAAAGGGAAGCGUUUGACACCAGUGUUGUUUUCUCGAAAAUCAAUUAAAAAGAGUUAGAUUUUGUUGUGUAUUGACCUUAACAGCUUGCAUUUCAAUUUUCUUGCUUUUUUCUAAUGCACUUUUCGUUUAACAAGUCAACAUCAGUUUCUUUUGUUGUAAAAAGGUCAUUGGAAGGUGGCUUUCUUUUCGGAGAAAGUGUUUAUAGCCUUUGACUCCUGCAAUCGGAGAGACUGAGGUCUGCAGCGUAGAUCCUUCGGGGUUAGAUACAUUUGUGCUAAGCUAUAGCUUUUUAUAGACAACUUGUUGACUAUGAUUAGUCUUGUAGCUUACUCGCUUAUGCUAUUUUACCUACGCUUAGGAUGUUGAGCGCAUGUCUCUCUCU